ACAGCAGGGAAUGAAAACAGUAUUCUACCUUCAAAGUAAUUUGAGAUUGGUGUGUGAAAGAAAGCCAAACAAGUUUCUUCAGUCCACAAUUUCUUGGAACUUUUGCUAUUCAAAUUACAGAUCUCCUAGAGGGAGCUAAAGAAUAUGCAGAAUUUGCCGAACAUUUCCUUGCGGAGUCUAUCAUUCAGUUUCAGAAUCCAAGGAAAACAACCAAACUGAAUCAUCCUCUAACCCACAGUCUAAGGCUCCAUGGGAAGUAACUGAAUGAUGAUUACUGUGAAGAGAUGACACCAAAUGAAAUAGAGACAUCUGAAAAUACUCAAGAUCAACCAAAAAGGGUGGCAUAUGUAAAUUCUACUGGCAUCUUUGAAAAAGUGCUCCAACAGCACAGUAGCAAAUGUUUUCCUCUCCUAUAGUCCAUGCUGAAAUGUUCAUGCUAAUUAGCAUUAGGGGCAAAUGUCACAUAUGGAUUUAAGUGGAAAUUUCUGAAGGAUAUAAAAUACAGAUCCUUUGUUUGAUUGAAAAUAGUUGAAGAGACUCACGGGGAAGAAAGUGGACUACAUGGAGAUUAUAAAGACAAAGUCAAUAACGCUUUGGGGGACCUUAUUAACUCAUUUUGUCCAGGUUCUUGUAUAACACCUGGAAUUCUUAUGGAAUUGUUAUCCUGACAGCAUAGGGCUAAUCAGACUUCCCAUGGGAGGAAGGCAAUACUCACUUAGCUUCUCCUUUAGUUGCCUUCAAAUGCUAAUAUAUCCCUGUUUACUUUUCAAUUUCCUCCAUUUCUGAAAGUGUUAAGGAAUUGCUCUGUUUUAAAACUGCUUCUUUCCACUUAUUGAGAAAAAUAUCAACUCAUAGGAGCUGAGGAAAGACAUUGGCAAAAAACUGGGAUCAUCAAAAUAAAUAAGAUUUAUUUAAUCCAUAUACAAGUAUUACUGUAUAUUCAACAAGACACUCUAUAUUGGAAAUUACGGAAGUUUGAAAGAAAUAUAAUACAAAAUUUUCAGCCAUAAAGUACUUAAAAUUUUAUUGAGUAUAUACGAUAAAAUGCAUUCUCCAUCUAACAUCUCUAGCCAACAAUCUAAUAUACUCAUUCUGCUCAUCCAUUUUAUCAGCAAAUCUUCUUGGCAUGACCUCAAAAAUCUAUUUCAAAUCUUCCCCUACCUUUGCCAACGCUCCACUAAACGAUCUCGGUAUUCUCUCCAGGACUAAUGCAGCAGCUUUAGAAAGUGUCCGUAUAUUAACUAUUCCCUUUCCUCUCGCUCUCCUAGCUUACCAAGUCCAUCUUCUCAAAAGUGCAACUUUUAAACAUAAAUCCCUUUCCUGCUAAAUUCUAUUCAUUAUAAGCUAGUCAAUAAAUUUAACCCGAACUCAAGGAGCAGUGACUGGGGCCAGCACUGUGGUACAGUCGGUUGGGGUGCUGUUUGCUAAGCAGGCAUCCCGUAUUGGAGCACUGCUUUGAUUUCUGUCUGCUCUGUUCCUGAUACAACGUCCUGUGAAUGUUCCUGAGAAGGCAGCAGAACGUAAUCCAAGUGCUUGUGUCCCUGCUACCCAACUGGAAGACCAGAAUAAAGUCCGUGGCUUCUGGUUUUAGCCUAUCCCAGACCUAGCUACUGUAGCCAUUUAGGGCGUGAACCAGAAGAAGGGGAGAUCUCUCUUUCUCAUCCCCCUCUCUUUCUCUCUGUCACUCAGUCUCUCAAAUAAAUCUUAAAGAAAAAGGAGCAGGGAUUUUGUAAAGUUUUGACAGAAAGUGGGUAUCAAGUAUUUUGGAGGUUGUCCACGGUAGUCUGUCCUGAAGCCUCCAGUGAGUCAUUGUCAUUCCACAUGAAAAAUGCAUCCUAUUGCAAGAUACACAAAAAUGUAAUCUUAUCCAGGCAAAAACUCAAAAUCCAAAACUUCAUCAUCUAAAUCAGGAGGUUUGGAUGGGGAUGAAGCUUCUCAAGGACAGCUUUCUUAGGUAUGGCUCGUUUCAUAUGGUUCCCCUUGAUCUUUAAAACUCUGAAACUAAAGAUAAAUUUCUUUCCAGCCUACCCAAAAUGCACACAUUUAAAUGACAAUGACGGGAUAAGCAUCCCAGAUAUUCAUCUUAAACAAUGAGGCACAAAAAAAUGAUUGGUCCAUAGCAAUUCUGAAAGUCAGUCAGCAAAAUGGCAGACAUCCAUUAAUUAGCUACAAGUCCUAAGCAUUCUUCAGGCUCUGAGUUCCACCCUUUAGCCCUCUGGUUCUACCUGAGUGUUGAUUUUUUUUUGUGAAAGGUAACGUGUGUUCUCGGCCCAUGGGCUUUCUCAUCGCAUUACCUCUGCUAGAAUUGUGGGGGCAUAACUAGCUGUUCAGUUUUUGUUCUAGCUUUUGUUCUUUCACUCUGGGUUAGUAGGUUUUCUGCAGGUACAAUUCUCUAAGAAACUUGCAGGCCAGCUGUGUAUGUCAUUUGAGUUUAUGUGAAAGCAAUAUCUCUAUAUCUCUGUUAAGAAGUUCUUUAUCUUCCUCGGUGGCUUCCUAAGACGACCAUGAAACAAUGUUCUGAAGCUUCUUAAUGACUCUACUACUACUUAAUUCAGAGAAUCUGAAGGAAAACUUUAUUCUGAAAAAGGACCUUCUGUGAGACUGGAUAGUCCUCUGAGACAAAACUUUGAAUCUUUCUGAGGUCCUGACAAGUAUGGCACAGCAUCAGCUUCAUGUUUAGACCAUGAUCAGCACAGCAAUGAAAUUGAUGUUUGCUUAGAAGCCAUUUCUUUCUUUGUUUUUAAUUUUUAGCAUUUUUUGCUGCAAGGAGAGGCUGAGGUUCUUCCAAACCAUCAAAGGCUGAUGUGUUUUUGUUCAUCAGUUCUGCCUUCUAAUUGGAUUUCUCUCAACUUGCAUUUUACUAUAAGCAGCAGGAAGAAAUAAAGUGACAUAGUCAACAUUUUUUUUGACAGGCAGAGUGGACAGUGAGAGAGAGAGAUACAGAGAGAAAGGUCUUCCUUUGCCGUUGGGUCACCCUCCAAUGGCCGCCGUGGCCAGCGCGCUGCGGCCGGCGCACUGCGCUGAUCCGAAGCCAGGAGCCAGGUACUUCUCCUGGUCUCCCAUGGGGUGCAGGGCCCAAGUACUUGGGCCAUCCUCCACUGCACCCCCUGGUCACAGCAGAGAGCUGGCCUGGAAGAGGGGCAACCGGGACAGAAUCCCGAUGCAUAUAUUUUUUUUUUUUUUUACAGGCAGAGUGGACAGUGAGAGAGAGAGACAGAGAGAAAGGUCUUCCUUUUCCAUUGGUUCACCCUCCAAUGGCUGCUGCGGCCAGUGCACCGCACUGAUCCGAAGCCAGGAGCCAGAUGCUUAUCCUGGUCUCCCAUGGGGUGCAGGACCCAAACACUUGGGCCAUCCUCCACUGCACUCCCGGGCCAUAGCAGAGAGCUGGCCUGGAAGAGGGGCAACCGGGACAGAAUCCGGCACCCCGACCGGGACUAGAACCCGGUGUGCCGGCACCACAAGGCGGAGGAUUAGCCUAGUGAGCCGCAGCGCUGGCCUCAACAUUGUUUUGAAAUCUUCUUAGCAUCAUCACCUUGUUCUUCAGGCACACUUUUGACACUUCAUAUAAUUUCCCACACUAGUGCUGCUCAAUAGUCUGCUGAUAUGCAACAAAUAUCCUCCUUCCCUGAGUUUUCAAGAUGUUUUUCACUUUGGGGUAAAUUCUCUCGCUCACAGUGCCCUCAUUGUCCAAAAUUCUCUGAACAAUGUGUUAAAGGUGUCAUUGAAACCCUUCUAAAAAAUAAAAAUAAGAAUACAACCUUUCUCGAAGUUUACUGCACAGUCCAAGACUAGUUCAGUACUUUUGAUAUUUAUUAUGGUGUUAUUUCAACUCCAGGCACCCAAAUAUGAAUUAGUAAUAAAUCCUCAAAAACAUAGCAACUUUAACUACUCAUGAUCUCUACUUGCUCUGGAUCAGGGAUCCAGGUACAGUUAACUGGGUGACUCUAGCUCAGUAUUUCUCAAGAAGAAAACCAGGUUGUCAGUGAGGUGUAUAGUCUUCUCAAUGCUUGUCCCUCUUAAAAGUUCACUUACAUGAUUUUGUCGGACUUCAAGUGCUCAGUUGGUGUUGUUCAAAGGCAUUAGGCCAUUUUCCUGGGUAAUUUUUCAUAACCAUAUACCCUGUCUGAGAAUAACAAAUGAAGAGAGGAAGCCUGAAACAGAGACAGAGUCGUUGUGUAGCCUAAUCUAAGAUAUGAUACCACUUCUGCUGCACUCUGUUCAUUUUAAGUGAGUCAAUAAACCCAGUGCACGUUCCAGGAGGGCUAUUUUGUAAGGGCGUGACUGCUAGGAGGUAGAGAUUCUGGGGAACAUCCUAUGGGACACUCAUUGCACGGUCAGCUGUGACCACCUCAUACAGAAGAGUAUCAACUCAUUCACUGCUAAUUUCACCCUACAUUAAUUCUCUAUAUAAUAUAUUUUAUCUGAUUUAAAGUUUUAUACUUCUAUCUGCAUUAAUUGUCACAAACUGAAGUUGGGAACAUAAUUUGUCUUCAAAAAUAGGAAAAGCAACUUAAUGUGAAACCUAUAAAGUAGGUCAAAUGUAAUGAUGUAAUCAGACCUGCAUCUUGGACUCAGAAAAGGAAGGCUAAGUGCAAGUGUAGCCUUAGACAAAGAUCUCUCAUCAAUGAUAAGGAAGGUCUGGCAUAAAAGAUAAGAAUUCUUCAUGAAUGUGGAUAACUAGAUUUUGGAAGUUAUGGAGGUAGGAGAAAAUUUUAGGUAGAAGAAGUAACAUGACAGAGACUAGGUGAGGAGAAAGUCUAUUGCAGAAAUUCUAAAUAGUUUGAUAGGAGCAGGGGUGCUUAAAUCUGAAAUUGAUGUAUUAGUUAUUAAUGAAACAGGCAGUUGGGAUAGCUGUUUGGAAAAAAGCUGAUUAGCCAUCUAUUUUGUGAAAGCCACUUUACCAAAUUAUUUCUGAAUAUGAUUUAUAACAUUAUUUUGGAUUGGGAUUGUUUUUAAUGUUCCAAGUGGCAGAAGUUCAGGAAUAUCUGGAAACAAAAGACUGCAUGGGAUUUAUUUAAUAUGUCUGCCUUUAGACAUGUGUCAGAGUGGGCUUUGGGCACAGCAGUUAAGCUGUCAUUUGAGACACAUACAUUCCAUAUUGGAGUGCCUGGUUCAAAUCCUGGCUUCAUUUCCAAUUCCAGUGCCUUGCUGUUACCUGAGAGGCAGCAAGUGAUGGCUCAAAUACUUGGGUCCCUGCUACCCAAAUGGGAGAACUAGGUUGAGAUCUGGGCUCCUGACAUCAGCCUGUUCAAACCUAAUUAUUGAAGACAUUUUGGGAGUGAAACAUCUGAUUGAUGAGCUCUCUCUGUCUCAUUCUUGCUGCCUGCCCUUCAAUAAAUAAAUAAAUAAUUUCUUUAAAAAGACUCAAACAUAAUUCGAAGAGAAGGAAGUAGGUUAUUCUGGGUGACUCUACAGCUGGGAAUAUUGGAAAAUAUGGCCAGAUAAUCACCUCGGAAACCACAGAAAAUGAGUAAACCUUUUGUUUUCUGUCCCACUCAGGUAGAAACCAAUCCACCUAUAACAUGUUCUGAAAUAUCUCAAAAAUUUCCUUAAUUUGUCCAUAUAAAAAUCUUAGCACACAUUUGUCAAGUGGAAUUAAGUUGUACCUCUAGUUCUACAAUGGAGUCUUCAAUGUGGCUGCAACAAAGAUGCUAUAUACUUUUGGUUUAGUCUGACCUAUGAUGUAACAUAUAGGAUUGAUAUUCAGAUUUUGUUCUGGGUCGCAAAGUCAUUCUUCUGUGUUCAACAUAUGGGGCAGUGUCAGUGCUAUGGCAUAGCAUGUAAAGUUACCGCUUCCAGUGCCGGCAUCCCAUAUGGGUGCCGGUUUGAGUCCUGGCUGCUCCACUUCCUAUCCAGCUCUCUGCUAUGGCCUGGGAAAACAGUAGAAGAUGGCCCAAACCCUUAGACCCCUACACCUGCAGGGAAAGACCCAGAGGAAACUCCUGGCUCCUGGUCUUGGAUCGGUGCAGCUCUGGCCAUUGCGGCCAACUGGGGAGUGAGCCAGCGGAUGGAAGACCUCUCUCUCUCUCUCUCUCUCUCUCUCUCUCUCUGCCUCUCCUUCUCUCUCUGUCUAACCCUUUCAAAUAAAUAAAUAAAUCUUUAAAAAAUGUAUAGAAGAAAGUAGCCCAUUUAAAAUUAUCCUAAGAAUCCACCUGACUAAAUGAUACUUUCUCAGUAGUACUUCUAGUCCAAACCACUUUCAUAUUAUAACAUUUCUGUGUAAGCAAUUGGGAAUAUUAUAAAAUUUAUGUUUUUAAUUUGUUGCUUAAUCUACAGAAUAAAAAUUAAAAAUAAUUUGUUUUGACAAUACCUAUCUCCCCAUGUUUAUCACCCCAUAUUAUUUAUAAUGAAAUGAAAUUAAAAAUUUAUUCAGUGAUGUAUGUUGGGUGAAAAUACAUAUAAUAAAUGAAUGAAGCAUGCAUUUAUUCUUGGUGGUGGUAUUUUCAGACAGAAAAUAAAUUAAUAUUCCAUUCAGGCCUUAAAUGUGUUGGUAUUUUAACUACUCAUUAAAAUUUAUAUGUGUACAUUUAUAAAAACUAUUCCAUUGAGGAACCAUAUUUUACCUUCCAGGUUCAGCAUUUUUAGAAACUUAAAAAAUUUUCACAUAUGCUGCAUUGAAAAAAUAUGUAAUUUAAGCAGGCAAAAAUAAGCUAAUAAAUGACUUGAGAUCUAGACUCCCUGGGAAGUGUAGUUAACUAAGACAAUAAUAAUAAGUAAAAAUAUCCAAAGAUAUGUCUUAAAAUUUUCUAGAAUAAACAGCAAUUAUCAUAAAAAACAGAUGUUUGUAGAAUUAGGUAUUUUAUUGUGAUUCAAGGGAAUAUUUUAAGUGUAAUUAUAGGAGUUAAUUUAUCUAAAAUUACUUUUCUCAAAACUAUUAAAAAUGCCAAAGUUUUUUUUUAGUGUGACAGUUAUCUAUACGUUACCCCAGAGUAGUUUUCUUUCAGCAUGACAGAAAUCAGUUGUGUACUUCUGCAAAGGACUUACAAACAUGGGGAGAACAACAGCACUGGCAGAAGCUGUGCUACUGAAUUAUCAAUGAAGUCUUUAUUAUUAUAUCUUUGCAAAAAACAAAGAUAAUUUUUGAAAGUUUAUUUGACCAAAGACAUCUGGUGUGGUCUUACAUACUUACUUUCUUCACACUGUGUUUGAAUUGUGUCACUGUAAUAUUGCUCAGAAAGAUUUGCAUAUAUAUAUAUAUGCUUACAAAAUAAGAGUUGUAAUGAAUCUAAAGAAAUUAUGCCAGGCACAAAAAUUUUGUGCUUUUUUUCUGUAAUUCAUCUUUCAAUUUUCAAAUAAAACUCUGGAACGUUGUAAAUAUCACUUACAAGAUUUGGACAAAGACUUCACUGGGUCUUAUUCCCUCUUAGCUAAAGUAAUCAUUAGUGAUCUUUGUUGACACUUCAAUACUGCAGCAUUCUCCCCUCCCAGCCACCUGUAAAUCCCACUCCAUUUAAAGUCCCCAUCCCUAAAUCUUUAGCUCGGUUGCUAUCUACUUCUGUAAUGAAUUUAUAAAGGCUGUGUUGACAUGAUCUUAACAAAAACUCUGUUGUAGUAAGGGAAAAAGUAGGGAGAAAAAAAAAAAUGAGUGUCUGUUCAAAACAGAACAAACCAGAUGAUUUUUAAACUACAGUAGCUAAAUAGCAUAUCAUUGAUUCUAAUGUGAAUAAUAAAGGUGCUUAGAGACCAUUCUCCUCAUGUAUGAGGUUUCAGUUUUCAAUACCUAGCAAUCUGGAUACUUGCCAUGCUAAUAAUUACUUCAUGUGGGUCACACACUACUUCAAAGUAAAGAAACAAUAUAACAGAAAAUGCUUUGAAGACAGUUCGUGAAACUGAAUACAUAGAACAUAAAUUCAUAUCUUGUUUUAUAACAUCAAAGAUCAUGGUUGUUCUGAACAUCACAAUUGCAAUGGACUAACUUGUUUUGAAUGUAACUUCUUACAUACAAAGUGAGUAGUACGAUUUUGCAUUAGCUUCCACUAUAAUCACUUCUUGAACUGUCACUCAGUAAAGUGGAGGGUAUUGAAAUUGCCCAUGAAACAAAUCUUGAUGAUUUAAAUAAACAUGAAUUGUAGUGUUUAUUAUGGAAUAAUAAUGUGAAACUUUAAAGCAUUAAUUUGAUAAUUUUUCCUUCUGGCAACUGUUUUUCAAUUUAGAACCUAACCUUAUUUGAAAUAUUCUAGGGAAAAUAACGCGCUCAUUUUCUUUAACGAGCUCUUACAAUGUUUAUGCUGUCAAGAAAAUUAAAAUCUUUCUAACCAGAAUUUUAUUAAUCAUGCAUCUCAAACUCAAAUCAUGGUACAGUCAUGUAGGCUACUAAAGUGAACAGAACAGAUAGCUUGCUGGAGAGUACAGGAAUCCAGAAAAUGGAUACUCUACCUAAAGGAAUUAAAUUUUAAAAAAUUCUUAUUUGGCCAAGCAGAUUUAAUCUAGGAGUUCAGGUCUGUCUGACCAAGGGUCACCAGAUUUUUAGCUAUCUAUUUAUAUGGUAACCUUUUCAUCUGAAUUUGAAAGCAGAAGACACUGAAUAAUUUACUUUUCCUUUAUCUUCAUAAUGUUGAUGAUAUAUGUUCAAUUUAUUUUUAUUUUCUUCUUUUUAAUUGAAAUAUGGGCUGUUAUGUAGUGAACAGCAUACUGCUUGGUUCUCUUUUCUCAACUCUGUCUGGAAUCCCUUAUAUUUAUGACUGCAAAUUCAAGAUUUGUGAGGAUUAUUUCUGUUCUAUUCCCUUUUUAUUAGAGGUGAGAAAACCAAAGCCUAGAGAGGUUAAAUGCUGUACUCAAUAUCCCAUAGCCAAUUACACAAGAUUCAAAGUCUCUCAAUUCAGGCAUCUUUCAUGAAUACAUACACAAGUAAGCACAAAACAGACACACAACAUAUAUUCAUUUAUCACAUUAAUUAGUACAGAUUUCUUUCAUUCUGUAAUGUGUCUUACUCAUUGCUUUCACUCUACAUUCUACACUGAACCUGGUGGGUAUUUAUUAGAUGAACUACAAAUAUAUUUUUAUUUAACUUGAAUUUCGUUUGAAUAAAUGACACUUCCAAAAAUUUCACAAGAGUUAUUGACAAAAAGGAAUUAUUUGAAUUGCAAGUAUGCUGAGAUAUUUAGUGAUAUUUACAAUCUAUCUCAGACUAAAGUUAGCUCAGUGUUUCUUCAUUCAUCAUAUCAGAUUUUGUUUAAAUAUAAAGAAAAUUAAAAGGCUCUUCAAAACAAAAUGCAGGUGACAUAAAAAGAGGAAAUAUUUACUGUAUAAAGCAGAUACAGUAGGAGGAGAUACGGUAAUGGGACUUGUCCGCAUUACAUGCAGCCCAGAGACAGUUUGGAAAUGAAAAAACAAGGGAGGCACUAUGAUUGCUUCUGGUUUCAUAAGGCGAGUAGGCUGGUCUGAGAGUUGAUACUGUCACUCAGUAUUAGGAAGAGCAAAACGGUGUUAAAGAGGAAAUUCAUACAUGCACCCUAGUAAUGGGACCUGUUCAGUUCAACAGAAGUCCUAGAAACUUUAUAAAACCCGAUAAAACUUGUAAGUGGAGGCAAAAGUGAGUCAAUAUUUAUAGAGCUUAGGUUUAAGCAGUGACAUUAAAUCAGGAUUUAAUGAAGGAGCACAAAAGACUGUUUAAACAAGUAUUCAAAUUCUGACUGCCUUGUGCCUAUUUCUUCCUGAGAAAAAUGGCAUUGAUAGAACCUACCUGUGUUAGGCAGAAUUCUAGCAACAAUCCAUGUUGAUUUUCAUUCUUGUAUAAUCAGGAACCUGUGAAUAUGAUGAAUUACUGUUCUUAUGAUAUAUCUCAAAAAAGAGGUUAUUAAUAUAGUUGUGAUCUAAUCAUACGAGACCUAUAAAUGCAAAGAAUUUUCUCAGCUGGUAGCACAACAGGAAGGCAGAAUCUCUAUGCGUGAGGGAAUUUGUUGCAUCAUUGCUGGGUUUGAAGACAGAGGAAGCAAUGGGAAGAAAUAUGAGCUCAGAGUGGCCCCUAGAUGACAGCCAAAAAGGAAAAAGAAAUGUCAGUCCCACAACCAUAAAGUUUAAUUUGGCCCAACCUGAAUGAGUAUAGAUGUAGCUUCUUUCCCAGAGCCUACAGAUGAGAACCUAUCCUGACCAACAGUUGAUUGCAGCCUUGUAAUCAUGUAAUCUAGUAAAUUGAAAAUUCUAUUUUUAGAAUUGUGAGAUAAUAAAUAGUUUUAAAGCCAUGAAUGUGCUGUAAUUUGUUAUGUAAUGAUAGGAAAUUAAAACUAAUCUGUUAUGUAAUGAUAGGAAAUUAAUGAAAGGAAAUUAAUUUCACACAAUUGUUAUCAGAUUGAAGAGUAGAAUAUAUGUAGAGUUCCUAGUAUCAAUAACUUCCUGUCAAGCUGAAACACUCAAUAAACAAUAGCCAUUUGCUGUUGUUGUUGUUCUGAGAUAGCAGAUACGUACUCUGAGCAAGCCACAGACUUUGGGAAUCUCAGACCAGACUUCUUUCUUUAAGGUAAUAAUAGGUCUAAUCCACAUGACCACUGAAUAUUAAAUGAUUAUGCAUGAUUAUUCAAGUUUCUUCAAGUUCUGUAGGCUUAGUCCUCAAAGAACAUCAUUUCCAUAAGUUUUCAGUAGUAGAAGAUUAGGAUUGUAUAGACAGUGGAGAUUUGACUGACCAGCCACAAAUCUGUACCUGAUAAUUGGAUUGAUGAUAUAAGGAAAAGACAAAGGGGAAAAACAGAGGGGUAGAUGACGGUGUGACUAGAUGAAUAAAGACUUGAAAGCAAUAUGAACACAUUUUUUUCAGGUGUCAGUGAAGAGAAUGGUCUGUCUAUGUGUCCUUUAUUAGCUUUGUUAUUUAUGGUAGUACGUGUAGUAGAUUGCAAUAUGCUGCUUAGUGUUGCUAAUUUCCAGUAGGAGAUGGAAGCAUUUUCUGAAACAUCUCAUUGUGGGCCUCUCUCUCUCUCUCUCUCUCUCUCUCCCCCGGCUAUAGCCAUUUCAUUGAUCCUGUUUUUGAUUGAUGAAACAAUCAUUUUUUUUUAAAGCAACCGUACAAAGCUAUUAUGUUUCCAACGACGUGCCAGGGCUAAGGAUUCAAAAACAAUGAAGAACUUUAAAAGGAGUAUGGAAAAAAAAUCAAUCAUGAAAACUGGAAUUAAAAGAUAAAAUUAAGAAUCUAAACUGAAUUUUUUCAGUAUAAGAGAUACUAGUGAGCUUGCUCAUUCUCUCCCCACUCCCAUUCAAGAUACUUUUAUAAGCAAAUUACGAUUGUUCAGCCCUGAAGAACUAUGGGUUUUUAUGUCAAAGCAGUCUAUUUCACAUUAUUGACUGAAUAAAAUGUGUUCCACUUAAGAAUUUUUAAGAUUAUGAAAAGAAAAGAAGUCAGAGGGAGCCAAAUAAGCCUAUAAAGUGGAUGCCUGAUGACUUCUCAUUGAAACUGAAAACAUUCACCUUGUGUGUUGAGGCAAAUGAGCAGUAGCACUCUCGUGGUGAAGGACUCUGGUGACACUUUUCCAGGUUCCAGCUCUGAGAACACUGUGACAAUCAGCUGAUUUAUUGUUCUUUGGUCUUCCAUAGAGCCAAGAAGCAACAUGCAUAAAGAAUCCUGCAAUUUUUUUUUUUUUUCUGUUUUGUCUGGUUUUAACUGCGAUUAUGCUUCGACUGGCCAAUUUCCACCUCUAGAUAGCCGUUGCUUGGAUUGUGCCUUGCUUUCAGGACCCUACUGGUAAACUAUUGUCUCAGCUUCUUUUCCAGUUCUUCUGAGAAAUGCUUCAGGAUCUUGAAACUGCUUGCUAAAAAUUCCCAUAUAAAUCUCUGUUCUUGUCUGCAGCUAAUCUGAGUACGACAGCUUGGGAUCCCAUUAAGCAGGAAGUUUGUUUAUUUUAAUGUUUCAGUCAGAAUUUUGUAAGUUGAACUGAUUGAGAUAUUUACAGUUUGGGUUAUUUUUUCUGUCGUUAAUCAUUAGCCAUCGUUAAUUCAGACAUGGUUAUGAUUAAUUAUUUUCCUGAAAAGUGAUAUUGGAUGGUACGUCACAGUGGGCUCAAUAUACAACAUUGAAUUAUCAUUCCUGAAAUAUUUAUUUAUUUGUAAAAUUGUGAUUUCUUUGAGAAAUUGACCCUACAAAUUUUCAUAAUGCAUUUCCACUCAAGUUUCACUAUAAAUGUGUUGCUUGUUCUUAAAGCAAUUUUGGCAGAGUUCAUGUUGCUUUGAUAGGCACUUUUGUUGAAGCUACUGCUUUUUCCUUCUAAAUAGUUCAAAUAAGGUACCGGUCAAACACGUUAUAAUAAGCUUCCGUGAGUUUAUUUUAGUGCAAAAAAACACUUCAAAGUCAUCCAUAGUUUUUGCAUAAUAAUCAUUUUCCAUGAAGUUUGUGAUAUCUGUAUAAUUACAGUCCCAGUGGGAAGACAGAUAUAUUAUCUGCUCUGAGGAGUGGAUCACGUGACAGUUCUUGAUCUUUAAAGCCAUUCAGGUCCAAGUUGUAUUCUGCCUUAAUACUGUACAUUAAACUUGCCCUGUAUGUAAAACUUUUUAACAUAAUCAGAAAAUUUAAUGAGGUUCUUGCUUCUUAAAAAGAGCUAUGCCAUUUACUGCAUUACCAGGAGAUAGGAAUUAAUUUUUCUGAUUUCAGAGAACUUCCUGCAAAUCACAUCCAUGCAGGAUACCUCACUAAGAAAUCAAUUUUAUAGUUCUCGAGUAUCACAACAAUAAGUGAAUACCUUUCAGCCGUUGUACAAAAUGCAAAUCUUGGCCGGCGCCACGGCUCACUAGGCUAAUCCUCCGCCUAGCGGCGCCAGCACACCGGGUUCUAGUCCCGGUCGGGGUGCCAGAUUCUGUCCCAGUUGCCCCUCUUCCAGGCCAGCUCUCUGCUAUGGCCCGGGAGUGCAGUGGAGGAUGGCCCAAGUCCUUGGGCCCUGCACCCCAUGGGAGACCAGGAAAAGCACCUGGCUCCUGCCAUCAGAUCAGCGCGAUGCACUGGCUGCAGUGCGCCAGAAUACCUUUCUCUCUGUCUCUCUCUCUCACUGUCCACUCUGCCUGUCAAAAAAAAAAAAAAAAAGCAAAUCUUCAUUAGGAGUUCCAGUAACUAGAAGUAAAACUAAUAAUCAAAAUAUGGUUAUUUUUCUCCUGUCUACUUUAAAACUUAUCAGUUCCAAAUUUUAUCAAUAAAACAAUUAAUUGGAGAAAAGUUCUUUUCCUUUAAAGGUGAAUUAUUCAGGGUAAGUGCUGUGGCAUAGUGAGUGAAGAUGUCUCCUGCAGUGCUGGCAUCCCAUAUGGAUGCUGGUUCAAAUCCCAGCUGCUCCUCUUCUGAUCCAGCUCACCACUAUGGCCUAGGAAAGCAAUAGAAGAUGGUACAAGUACUUGGGUCCCUGCACCCAUUUGAGAGACCCGGAGGAAACUCCUUGCUCCUGCUUUUGGAUCAGUGCAGUUCCGGCCAUUGCGGCCAUCUGGGGAGUGAGCCAGCUAUGGAAGACCUCUAUUUCUCUCUGCCUAUGCCUCUCUGAAACUUUGCCUUUCAAAAAAAUAAAUCUUUUUUUUUUUUAGAGUUGAAUUGUUCCUAAGUGCUCCUAGAAUGAAUUGGCAUUUUAUUUUUAGUUUUUGUUAGUUUAUAUAUAUAUAUAUAUUAUUUAUAUAAAGGGAACAAAGUUCAUGUAUUUCACAUAUACAGUUUUAAGAGCAUAAUGGUACUCCCCAACCUACCCUACCUCCUUCCCUUACUCUAACCCUCUUCGUUUUUCUUUCCUAUUUUUCUUUUAAUUUUUACAGUGACAUCCUUUCAAUUUGCUUUAUAAUCACAAGUUUAACCCUAUACUAAAUAAAAAAUUCAAGUUGUAAGUGGAAAAACCAUUGUUCCUCGAGAUUAUAGACAGGGGCUAUAAACAAUAUUCAAAUCUCAAAACUCAAUUUUGCUAACAUGAGUUACUUUUUUGUAUUCUUUAUAAUGUUACCUCAAAUUAGGGAAAAUGUAUUUGUCUUUUGCAGACUGGUUUAUUUUACUAAGCAUAAUGGUCUGCAAUUUUAACCAUUUUGUUGGAAAAUAUGGGAUUUUAUUCUCUUUUAAUGGCUGAUCAGUCAUUCUAAACUUCUCCUUUAACUACAUUUAUCUUUUAAAUGUUAGGAAACUUAAGAUCUUUUUUCCAAAAAAGUACUAAAAACAAAAAAAAAAAAUUUGGACAAAAAAUAAUAAAGACUUCUAGCUUGAUUUUUAUUUCUAUGUGACUUAAUAAUUUCUUAUAAACAUAAAGUUAGGUGGAUGGUAUUGUGAUACAGCCGGUUAUGAGUGUUGCAAUACAGCAGGUUAAGCUGCUGCUUUGAACACCCGCAUCUCAUGUCACAGCACCUGGUUCCAGUCCCAGCAACUCCAUGCUUCUGCUCCAGCUUUCUGCUAUUGUGCUUGGGAGGCAGUGGAUAAUGGUGCACAUAUUUGGGUCCUUGAUAUGGGAGACAUAUGGAAUUCUUGGCUCCUGGCUUCAGCCUUGUUUACCUCUAACUGUGCUGGGCAUUCAGGGAGUGAACAAGUGGAUGGAAGAUAUUUUUUUCUGUGUGUGUGUGUGUGAGAGAGAGAGAGAGAAAGAGAGAGAGAGAGAAAGAGAGAAAGAGAGGGAGAGAGAGAGAAAGAGAGAGACAGAGAGAAAUAUCCUUCCUUUCAAAAUAAAUUGUAUAUGUAGUUUCUUUAUUUAGGUGAUAUAUUACCUGUCACAUUUGGUAGAAAUCAAAUCAAUAUCAACUUGCAUUUUAUUACAAAGUUAAGACUUCCACAAAAUAUAUUUUAAACUGUUAGAUUCCAUGACUUGGAAAGUACUGUCAGCACUUUAUAUGGGUGUUCACUCCCUCCCUUCUGUCAACUAUCUAUGUGAGACCCAUCUCACAUAGAAUAUUAGUUUUCUAUUUAGUUUCCCCAUCCCAUGCACAUCAAGGAAAAAAGGUUAUAUAAUACUAGUGCUUAAAUUGUCACCUAUGAGUUAGGAAAACCAACUUUAUAUUGUGCCUACUUUGUUAGUUAUCCCUGUAUGUUAGCCAAAUUAUUGGGUAUCUCUACAAAUUGAAGGUUAAAGAUGUUACAUAUUUCAUAUGAUACAGAUAUCAAAGUCACAAUUCAAAUAGAAUGCUUGAUGCCUGGCAUGUAACAAUGAUGAUUUAUUCACUGUUACAACUACAUAUUCUAAAAAUAGGAUGAUAUUAGAAACAUUACUAGAGCUGCAUCACCAAUACUGUGCCUUGGAUAUCUGGUCAUAGUAUGCUGCACAAUUUGGCUAAAAGAAAAGGCCCAGUUGUGAUCCUAGUAGAUAAAUUGAUAUACUAUUUUAGGCCAAAGGUAAUUAUUUUGGUCAACCAAAGCUGCUAUUAUGAAUACCAUAGUCUUGGUGGCUGCACAGUAGACAUUUAUUUUCUCAAAGCAUUAGGGGCUGGAAGGCUGAGUUCAGACGAACCUCUCACUGUGUGCUUACAUGACCUGGUCUUUAUGUGGCUAUAUGUAUGGAGAGAGCAUGAGCAAGCUCUCUAAUGUCUCUUAUAAGAACAUUCAUGUAAUAAUAUCAGAGCCCUCCUUUUAUAACUGACUCAUUCAAACUCAAUCUCCCUGUCUCCCACUACAAUUACAUUGUAGAUUAGGUUUUCAACAUAGGUGUUUUUUAUGGACACAACUCAAUCCCAAUCAUGUAACAUUCAUGGAUACCUAAAAUAGAAUAUUGACAGUGAAAAUGAAUGAGAAGGUAAAUAGAAGAUGUGACUCAAUUCUCUUAAAGAUGGACAGACUUUGCUAUCUAUUUGGCAAGGGGAUGAAGACAGACAUCAAAUUGAAGAUGACUUCAAGAUUGAUAGCAUUGAUGACUGGCAGAGAGUGAUGCACUAACAGAAAUUAAAUAGUGCUGGCGCCGCGGCUCAACAGGCUAAUCCUCCGCCUAGCGGCGCUGGCACACCAGGUUCUAGUCCCGGUCAGGGUGCUGGAUUCUGUUGCCCCUCUUCUAGGCCAGCUCUCUGCUGUGGCCAGGGAGUGCAGUGGAGGAUGGCCCAAGUGCUUGGGCCCUGCACCCUAUGGGAGACCAGGAGAAGCACCUGGCUCCUGCCAUCGCAUCAGCGUGGUGCGCCGGCCGCAGCCAUUGGAGGGUGAACCAACGGCAAAAGGGAGACCUUUCUCUCUGUCUCUCGCUCUCACUGUCCACUCUGCCUGUCAAAAAAAAAAAAAAUUAAAUAGUAAAAGAAGCAAAAUAAAGUAGGAAAUAUGUAAGACGUGAUGGAUUUAGUUGGAAGUUUCCAGAAGUCAGCUGAAAUUUUAUUCACUACUUCCUAUAUACAUGGAACCUUCACCAUAAGUAUUCUUCUGAAACUUGAAAUAUAAACAGUGAAUAAAAGAUGUUCUUGUCUCAAAGAAAUCCUAGUCUCUUGAUAUUUUAUAAUAGAACACUAUGAAAAGGCCACAGGCAGAAUCUGUGGACUCAAACACGUAAGAUGUUAGUAGAAAUCAUGUUUGCAAAGAACUCAGCACCAGGGUGAAAUGUGGGAUAAUGAUUUGCUUGUUUCAAAUGUUGUUAUCUAUCCACUUUCAUUUUUUUGCUGCAUAAAAAUGUAUAUAUGUCUAUGCGGAACCCUUAAAAUUUAAAUUAUUACUGGGUAGGGAAUUAUUAUAUAUUCUUAGAAUUGUAUCUAUGAACUAAACUGAAACUGUUCUAUUUGUAUUAAUAUCACUUUAAAAUGAGACUUGUGUUGUCAUAAGUGUGCAUUUGCUGUGAUCCUGAGAAUCUAAUUAUUAAUGAAUUUUCCCAAAAAAAGUUAUUAAGGUAGACCAAGGAAACUAUUAGAUGUUUUCUCUAAUAAAAAAACUGCAGUUUGUCAUCCUCAAAAAAUGAAUUUAUGAACAAAUUCUAUUUAGAAGUUAAGGUAGACACUUUGUCCAUAGUGAAAUGAUACAAAAAUCUAUAGUAGUAAUAAAUGUUUAAUUAUAAAGGGUAAUGAUGACUACAAGAAACUUGAGUUAUAUUGUGUGUUACUUGACUGUUAAAUAUCGACUGUUAAAUAUCUAGUCUAACAUAAAUGCAGCAAAUAUACUGCCAUCUCUUCUCUACACACACCUUUUAUAUUGUCUUCUAUCAUUUGGGGUAAAUUUUACCAAACUCUUGCCACAGACAAGUUACAACCUAAAAUUCCCCAGUGUGAUUCCAGAAUGUCUUGAUUAGUAGCUAGUGAAGAGUGGCAUUCAAAGCAGUUCAUGGACACUUUGGGUUUUAUUUAGCUUUCCAGUAAAAAUUCUUUGUGACCCUGAGUGAAAAUGGGAAGUAAGCAGGAAUUUUACAGAAUAGGGCAAGAGAUAGCUGAAGGAGAGCAGGUCACAACUUUGUUUAGAAUGAACUUGUCAAUGGUAAGAGGGUGGGAGCCAGUUUAUACAGCUGUGAUGGACACUGUGAGAAAGUCUCUAGGAAGUCAAUAAACCCACUGUUUUAUACACGGUAUAAUAGAAAGUGGACUGUAGUUAAAAACAUUCCUCAUCUCACUUUCUUCUCUAUAAAAUGAAUAGGUUAAUGGAAGAAAAUUCAUGUGAUUGUGAGGAUUUUCUUUGUUUUGUGAAGGAAAAUGAUAAACAAAUUUCCCUGCCAUGCUCUUCACACACACCAUAAAAAGGGCAGAUAUUGGGCAUACAUUGUUUUUCUCAAUUCUUUACAACCUAGGAGUUUUGACAGUUUAAUGAUUUUAUGAAUGACUUUAUUUUGUACUAACUUUAAAAUUUAUGAUUUUCAUUUCAAUAGAUUUCUGUGGAUUCUAAGGAAUAUUGCUGUUAACAGGAAAUUCAAGCUAAACUUAGCCAAAAAUUAAAUUGUUUCCUGAUAUCUUGCCCCUAAAUGUACUAUUUAUUGUUCAUAUGUAUUUCAUAUAAAUGAAAAGGUUUACUGACAAUUUAGAACAUAUAUAUUAUCUACACUAAAAGAUAGAAGAUCAUAUUACUCUGGAUACUGUAGAUCUGUUCUGUCAAUAUAGUAAUCACUAGUCAUUUGUGACUAUUUAAAUAUAAAUAACAAUUUUACAAAUUAAAACUUCAGAUCCUCAGUUGUACUAGCUAUAAUUCAUGUUCUCAUUAGCCACACGUUUAGUGGUUGGCACAUGAAACAACACAGAAUUUAUAAAACAGAUGCAUGAUCACAAUUUUAUUGAACAGCACUCUCAUUGUCUAAACUCGCUUUUAGACAAAGACCCUACCCUCCAUGAAUUGACUGCCUGGUAUGGCAAGCUGGAAUUAACUAAUUAAAAUGUUUGUUAUAAAUUCUUAAGACAAACUGGAUGCUAGAAAUACAGCAGCAAAUGGAAAAAGUAUGUUUUAUGCAAAUGCUGAGUCCAUAACGCUAUAAUUUAAUAUUUUUCUAAACAUAAAAUUUCCCCUAGGAGCUAUUUCUUCUUUAGAAGUCAGUAUAAGACAAUAACUUUAAUAAGGUUAACUAUCAGUUUGUUGAUAGGACUCCACGUAGCCAUGUCAGUCUUUAAGCAAGUUCCAAAUAUAAGAAGAAAGAAGCACCCAGAUAAUUACCAACAGUUCUCGGGGUGGACCUUGUUCUCUAUUUCCAAACUGUUAUGUGAAAUUCAUUUCUAAAGCACAUGUGAAAGCAGGAAGGAAGAUGAAAUGAUUCAGAAGUUGUAACCCACUGAGCGCUCUGUACUGCAUAUCCUGUUUAUUAUGCCGCUGAGUAUUGGAUGACUGCAGAAUUCCAAAUAAUUGAGGACAGAGGAGUUGCUGUGAAGUAAAUUCCCACUGAGUGGACAGAAGAAAUGUUAACCUGCUGCAGCACAAGUAUAUCCAGCCUCAGAUUUGACAGCAGCAGAUUUACCUGGCAUGUAGCAAGACAACAUCAGGUGGCUCUGUUUGAGAAGGAAGAAGAGCUUCCAGAAUGGGAAGACCCCGCCAGGCCGAUCCUUGGGGAGAAUCACUAUACUACACCUCUAUGGCCAUAGAAACCUCUGCUUUGACUAUUUAUCAUUUCUCACCACACGUUGCAGGUGUUGACUGAACUUGUGUUCACACUAUAUCGUCCAUGUGGUCACAUGUCCUUCUCCCCAGCGGGAAUGCUAGUCACUUGUAGGAAGGACAAAUUCAAUAUCAUUCCCCUCUCCUGGGAAGAAUACUUCACUCAAAUUACUUAUUCAGUCACUCUUUGAUGGAAGAAUUCAUGUACAUCGGAAGGAAGUUCUUAUUAAAGACGAAAUAUUUUAAAAUAUGCAUUUAAAUCUUAUUUAAAGGUAUUGAUCAUAUUGAUUCAGUUAAAAUUAUAUUUUUUGAAAGGAGAUAUGUGCCAUAUCUACGGAAUUUUAUUCUCAAAUUCAAUGUCUAAAAUUUUUCAUAAGGACUUGAAUAAUGUCUUCGUUCAAUGUAGCUUUUUUAAAAAUGAAGAGGAGAAGAAAGUUCUGGAAACACUUCUUUCUAGGAAGUAUUGAAAUCCAAGGGCCAUUUUUUUAAACCUCUUACACAGAAGUAAGCUUUUUUUUUUUUUUUUUAAUGUGCAUGGAAGAAAAGUUACAGGCAAAUUAAUAUUUGGAUGAAAUAAUUCUUAUUUGGAAAAAGGAUACUGAUUAUGAUUCAACUUGAAGAAUAAUUUUCCCUCAUCAUAAUUAGAGCUUAUUCUUUACAGUUAUGUUCUUUUUCUUUAUCUUAGAAGAUAAAUUAGAAGGCAGCUAGAAGGGGCAAUCUACAAUUUUGUCACAACCAACUGUUCAGCCAUGUUCUCUGUGAAUAUGUUGACCAUCUGAUGAUAGAAUGAACCUAUAAUAGAGGCAGCAAAGCAAGAGGCUGUUCAAAACCUUCAUUUUCAUUUUGCUAGUUGCCUCAGCUAUACUUCUGCAAAUAAUUAUAUUUCUUUGUAGGAAUAAUUUUGCCUGUCAUUGCCCCUAACAGCUUUCUGUAAAUGCACUCUUUGAAAAAAUGGCUGGAAAUGAUUUCUAAAACCAUCUAUACAAUUCCUUAACCUCAGAACCUGAAUGUACUGUUGCCUCUUUAGAAUAAGAAUAGGUAAUAGGGAGCAUAGUUUUCCUAGAAUUCAUUCCCUUGGGUAAAUUUAAGAGCAAUGCAUGUUUCACUUUCUAGAAUUUACUUCUAGUCACAAAUAGUAGUUUUUACUAUAUAAAAAUUCUUUCCACAUCCACUUUGUAUAUUUAAAAAUUUCCCAUUAAACAUAUAGGUGACACUUCUGUGCUUUUGUGCAAUCACCAAUUAAUUUACUCUCACAAUCUUCUUUUGUAGCUUUCUCAAUCUCAUUUUUCAGGCUAGUAAACUGUGUAAAUGGAAAUUUCAUUAUGCUCUUAAAUCUGUAUAUGUGUAAUACAUAAAAGUUGUUACCCUCAUAUAAAUAAAAAAAUAAAAAGGAAAGAUCAACCUCCACAUCAUCUACAUAGAAUAUUAUAUGUAAAUUUCUACUAUGAUUAGCUUGUCCAGAGAACUACUAAGAUUUUUUUAAUUCAUUUUCAUCAUGCUGAUUGUAAAUAAAAUGCAACUAGAGUCUUCCAUGUCUACCUAAAGACAUAUGACCCACUGAAGUUCAUUCCUAGAUGACUGGCAUUUUAUAUUGGUGUAUGUAUUUACAAAGUAUUUCCUUUCCCUUUCCUCCUUUCAUACUGGAAAAUGAACAGAUGUAGGAGUAUAAUAUGUUCACCAAAUAGUAUUAAGUCUAAAAAUACCUGCAAAACAUAUUGGAAUAACAAUUUUUUAACCUUCAACGCAAGUAUUUUAUCAGUAGGUAGGAAUUUUCAAAAUAGAAAGCACUUACACAUAUUUUUUUUAAGUAUUUUUUUAAGAUUUAUUGUAUUUAUUUGAAAAUGUUACAGAGAGAAGUUGAGACAGAGAGAGAGAAAGAGAGGUCUUCCAUCUGCUGAUUCACUCCCCAAAUGGCCGCAACAGACGAUGCUGUGCCAAUCAGAAGUCAGGAGUGAGGAGCUUCUUCCAGGUCUUCCUCGUGGAUGCAGGAGUCCAAGGGUUUGGGCAGUCUUCUGCUGCUUUCCCAGGUACAGUAGCAGGGAGCUUGAUCGGAACUGGAGCAGCCAGGACUCGAACCAUCAUCCAUAUGGUAUGCCAGUGCUGCAGGCUGGGGCUUUAACCCUCUGAGCCACAGUGUCAGCCCUGCACUUACAAACUUUAAUAAAGCAUGCUUAUUUCCUGACUAAAAGAAUUCACCCAGAAUUCACUCCAUGGAAUUACACCAAAGUGGUAGACAUUGAAUUGUCAAUUUUAGUUGAUGUGUUCAUCUAUCUCUCCCUUGCUAUGAUUUGAUAAGUAAACAGCAUUGUAUUAAUCAGAAAGUUAGUGGAUGGAAUUAGAUAAUAACUUUGUAAGAGGAAUGGAUGAGUUUGGGGAAAAUGCAUAUAUUCAUAUCUGCUUAAAAUUGAGGUCAAAAUGUCUAAAUAAAUCUAUAAAUUAGUUGUCAGUUCAUAUGCACUAAACUCAGAAAGAAACCAUUUAAGUGAAUUAAAUGAAUAUAACUUAACAAAUCUGGAAAUGUAUUAGAAACAUUUUUUCAUGAGCAGACAUUUCAUAUCUAUACAUCCUUAUGCAUAACCUAAAAACAACAAGAAAAUUCUGAACCUUAAUUCACUGGGGUAGUCCUAUUGAACCUGUUCAGCGGUUCUGUUUACUUCAAAUUUUACUUGUUGCAUACUAAUAAAUAUCAUUUGAAAGUCUAAUUCCUAGCCAGUUUUUAUAUUCUAGUUUAUGGAACAUAUUUGGAGGGUUAGCACUUGAAAGAUCAUUAUUAAUUCAUCAUAUACUUAUUAAUUUUAAUCAAGAGUUUAGUAGUACUUCCCACUUUCUCUGCAUUUCUAACUCUCCAAAGAGAUUCAUUGUGUGGAUUCAUCAUUAAUACAUUUUAUGAUCUACUCAAUUUGUGGUGAUAGAAUAUUCAAAUUAUAAGUUUAAUGUAAGAAAAUCAUUAAAGUUUUUUUUUAUAUUUUUUCAGUUAUCUGAUCCUUUAAAAACAGUACAUACAAGGAAAUUUUCUUCUUCCUUCCAAAAGCUUAAAAUAUUUGAGUAAGUUAAAAGGAUAAAUACAAAUUCAAAAUUUUAGAGCUGAUAAUAACUUGUAGUAAAGAAUGAACCUGGUAAAAUUAUGAUAAGUUAUAGGAAUAGAAAAUCUUGCAAUGUUGAAUGGUUGAGAUUUCCAAUUGUAAAUGCUUCUCAUAAAGGCAUUUUAAAUUACUUUGCAAUUUUUAAGAUUUGAUAUCUCAGUUUUAUUUUUAAAAAGUAUUUUUAGUUAGAUGACAGGAAACAAUUUAACUUAUGAUAAUUAUACCUUAUUAGGAAACGUUUAACCAUUUUGAUUUUCCAGAAUGAUUGAUUUUUUUAAACUGUAAAGUUAAGAAAGUGAAAGAAAAGUAGUCAGAUCCAAAUUGUAAGCUUUAUUUGUCAUCAUGUGAUAAUUAACCUCAUUAUGUUUCAACCUCAGAUAUCAUUCCCAUUCUAUAAGGUUCAUUUUUUUUUUAAGUUGCUAACAUAACAUCUAGGAUUUAGACAUGGAAAGAAAAGGAAAAUAGUGAGUCAAUGGAAAGGAAUGUCUCUAAAAAUACCCAUGUAUUCUUCAACUUCUAACAAUGCUGCCUUGAGUUGAAUGCUAUUGUCUAAUAAAACUAUUGAGAAUUUUUGGAGAAAAAAUUUAAAAUAAAUGGCUUAAACUGUAUCAUCUGAAAAUUCUGUUUUAAUUAAAAUUUGUGGUUUUCAAUGUGACAUUAGGAGAAUCGUUUCAGCAAAUUAAUGGUGGGUAGAAAUAGUCUAGUUCAUUAACAAACAGUUCUUCAAAACUCUGGAGAGAUCCUGUGUGGACAGUAGAAUCUGACCUAAAGACAUAGCCGCAAAAGUACGUGGAUUUAGAAGUAGAUGUCAAGUAUUGUAUUAUAAUCUUACAAAUGGACACAUGUCUUUGAAGACUCUGUUAUUUUACAAUGAGCAAAUAGUAUAAUUCAGAUAGAUUAAAGAGAUCCCUAUUUGGGGAACUUUUUAAAAAUCCUGGUAAAUAAGUUCUAUCUAGGUACAGAAUUACGCUAUUUCCUUGCUUGAGAUAAAGCAUGGGUAUCAGUCCAAUCCAAUAAGGAAAGUUCAAUUUUUUAAUGGAAGAAUGCACAAGUUUAAAUCAUCAUAAAGAUAAGUGCCCAUUCACAAGUGUACUUGGUUGUCUUGGAUGCUUGUCUAGUACCUGUGCUCUAACUUCUAAAUAUAAAGCAUUUUGAGUUCCAUUGAUUUUGAAAAUAUAUCCAAUCCCUCUGACAUAUAACUAAACCCUUUCUUAGAAAUGAUUGGCAGCUUGAUUUUCAAUUUCACACAUUUCAGAGGGAAAUCAAGUUACUUUUUCUUAAACCAUGCAUUUUGCAUGAACUUAUGCAUUUAAUUUGUUAUGCUGUUUUCCUGCUUCUUGGACACAAAUUCAGCAGGAUUUUGUUUGGUUGUUGAUAAUGCUGCUUUGAAUUUUGUUGUCUCAACUACUGAUGUAUUGUGAUCGGACAAUGAAUACCAUUGACAGGAUAUAUGGAAUUUGUUGUAGCUUCACACAACACUUUCUUUUUUUAAAAAACUGAUUUAUUUGAAAGUCACAGUUACAGAGAGGGAGAGAUAGAGUGAGGUAUCUUUUAUCCAUUGGUUCACUCUCUUGAUGGCUAUAAUGGCAAAUGCUGAAGCCAAGUGGAAAUCAGGAGCCAGGAAUUUCAUCAGAGUGUUCCAGGUGGGAUCCAAACACUUGAGCCAUCCUCCACUGCUUUUACCAGGCCAUUAGCAGGGAGCUGAAUCAGAAACGGAGCAGUCAGCACUGGAACUGGCACACCUAUGGGAUAUCGGCAUCACAGACAGCUUUACAUCCUAUGCCUAUGCCACAGUGUCAGCCUCACACACAACGCUUUCUUAAAAAUGAAAAUCAGUGAGGACUACGUUGGGUGAGAAAGACUGGACAGCCAAAGAAAGCAAUAGGAAAUAAAGGGAGUACUACUGGACACAGUUGCAUGUAGUAUACACAAUUAAAAAUGUCAGUUUUCAAAUAUCCACACUCCACUUUUGGGGCAAAGGGAAUGAAUGGAGAUCCCACACAAUUAGGAAGGCAAGUCACAGGAUUAUACAAGUGAGGUCAUAUUUACAUUUUUAGACUCUUAGUGAGUGUUAUACCUGUGGAUGGCCAAGGUAGCCUAAAAAAAACAGCCAAGCAGCAAGACCCUGCUUCCUAUGCUUCUAAUUUCAGAGGAUUUCACAGUCCUGUUUAGAAUUUCUUUGCGCUUUCUGCCCUUCCUACUUUCGGAAUGUACUCUCCAUGUUCUGUUCAGUUACAAACCUAAUUUAUAAGUCAGCUCCAUAAAGGAGAGAUCAAUGCUAAGUAAAGAUAUGUAAUAUUUAUCUGUGAGCUGAACCCAAACCCAGCAAUUCAUAGUUUACAAAGCCGAAGUUUAAAUUAAAUUCAUAUUGGUUUGUAAAGGAUGUUCCAUGAGUUUUCUGUCGUUCAGCUACCUCAGCAUAGCAAUUAAAUUAGGUAGCACAAACACAUUAGAAAGAAGAAGCGGUUUCAUAAAGCCAUUCAUCAAACUAAAAAAACUAGCUCUCAUUACAGGAUUAAAAUCGAAUUGUAUUUUGGCUCCUUUUCUUUGUUCUGAUUAUUCAGUGGCUAUAUAGUCAAAUCUAGCCCUCUUUAUUAUGCCAUUAAUUAUUUAUAACAUAAUAUGGUUACAGUAACCUUUUUGCAGAAUUCAACUAAAAUGUCUGAGAUGUGUUCUUGGACUCAACUGAUAAAAUGAUGGUAAAUAUUGCUGAAUCAGCAAAAUAUGUGACCCUGCUUAGUAUAAGCAUUUAGAUUUCACAUACAUGAAAAUCUGAUUUCUCCAAGUUACAGCCUUUUUUUAAAAAUAGCAUGUUAAAUUACAGCUACGGCUCUUUCAUAGAGUGUUCAUACCAGAAUGAUUGGGCAGUGUCAAUUAAAACCAGGCAAAAAAAAAAAAAAAAAAGGUUUACCUAUGAGAGAAUUUAUGUUAUUAUGUUAAUUAGGACUGAACAUUUUGAAGUCUUACAUUACUAGUACAAGUGAUUAACUAGUACUUUCAUAUAUACAAUAUUAGCUAAGAAAACUGCAUUAUGCAAAUAAAUGACUGAUGUAUUUAGAGAUUUGCUGCUGACAGAUGAUCGCUCUAAUGAAUGCAUCUGGGACUGCAUAGAACUUGGGAAAGCAAUCUUACUGUGGUAAUGAGAAUUAGACCAAUUUUUGGCUGUUUUGGCCUCUUUCACUUAGAUAACCACCAGACAGAACUGGUGGAAUUGGUUUGUUAUAUUGGCUUCCAAUAUACAUCCAAAGCACAUGCUAUUUCCUACAAAUCCCUUUCAAACUUUUCCUCUUCGCUUCUUUCUCAGUUCUAAUUCUUUUCAAACCCCAAGUAUCCUUUGGUGUCUGGCUAUUUCCAUCACUCCUUUAUCUCUCCAAAUUUCCGGUUACAUUGUGCACAAGAUAUACAUGCAUGUAAAUUUACCCUGUCUCUUCAAACUGUUGCAUUUAGUAAUAAACAUGAAAGUUGCCAAAUCAGCUAUCGGAGUUCUUAUUGCUAUAUUUAAUAUUUUAAUACUCAUCUAAAGUCUAUGACAUUUUAGUUCUAUUUCCAAAAGUCUGUAUUAAUUUUACUUUAACAUAUUUGACUUGUGUGUCACAUCUAUAGCCAAUAUAGAAUUGUAACAAUAUUUAAAAUUAGAGAAAGCAAUACUUUCAAAGCAUGUCCAAUCUGUAAUUGAAGAUAUUCAGUGAAGAUUUUGUUAUGGGUCUGGCGUUGUGCCAUAAUGAGUUAAGCUGCCACCUGCCACACUGGCAUUCCAUUUGGGCACCAGUGCCAGCCCCAGCUGCUUCACUUCCCAAUCCAGCUCCCUGCUAAUACACCUGGGAAAGUAGUGGGGAAUAGCUCAGGUUAUUGGAGCUCUGAGUCCACAUGGGAGACCCAAAUGAAUCUCUUGGCUCUUGGAUCCUUCCUUUGGUCUGACCCAGCUCUAGUUGUUGCAGCUGUUUGAGGAGUGAACCAGCAGAUGGAAGAUCUCAUUUUCUCUCUCUCUCUCUCUCUCUCUCUCUCUCUCUCUCUCUCAUUUCUAUCUUUCACUAACUCUAUCUAUAAAAUAAAUAAAACUUUUUUUUUUUAAUUUUUAUUUUUGACAGGCAGAGUGGACAGUGAGAGAGAGAGACAGAGAGAAAGGUCUUCCUUUUGCCAUUGGUUCACCCUCCAAUGGCACAACAGUUAAGACAUGUGCUUGGGACACCUGUAUAUCAUAUUGAAGUGCCUGGAUUCAGUACAGAAUCUGCUUCUGAGUCAAUCUUCCUGUUGAUGUACACUCUUGGAGACAGGAAGUGAUGACUCAAGGACUUGGGUUCAUGCUACCCAUGUGAGACAGAUUGAGUUCCAGGUUCCCAGCAUUAGUCCAACCCAGCCACAGCUGUUACCAGCAUUGGGAGGAUGAACAAGUGGAUAAAAUUUCUCUCUCCCUCUCUGUCUUUCCUUUAUCUGUCUGCAUUUGAAAUAAAUAAAAUUUUAAAAAUAUAUAUCAAGCUGACUUGCCCCAAAUGGUAGAGUUAGAAACAUACCAGGGGAUUCCAAUUCAAUCCCAUCAAGGUGGCAUGUACCAAUGCCAUCUCACUAUUCCAAGUGAUCAAUUUCAGUUCACAAUUGAUCAUAAUGAAAGGACUAAGAGUCAAAGGGAGCACAUAAACAAGUCUAGUACCUGCUAACACUAACCGAUAGAAUAAAUAAAGGGGAGAGUGAUCCAACAUGGGAAGUGAGAUACUCAGCAGACUCAUAGAAUGGCAGAUGUCCUAAAUAGCACUCUGGCCUCAGAAUCAGCCCCAAAGGCAUUCGGAUCUGGCUGAAAAGCCCAUGAGAGUAUUUCAGGCAUGGAAAGCCAAGACACUCUGGCAAAAGAUCUCUGUGAGUGAGAUCCCAGUGGAAAGAACAGGUCUUCAAAGAAGGAGGUACCUUGCUCUGAAGGGAGGAGAGAACCUCCACGUUGACUAUGACCUUGUCUAAACAAGAUAAGAAUCGGAGAACUCAGAGGGCUUCCAUAGCCUUGGAAACUCAUGACUGGAGCAUAGGGAGACUACUGAUGCCAUAGACAGGAGUGUCAAUUGGUAAAGUCAACAACAGGAGUCACUGUGCACUUACUCCUCAUGUAGGAUCUCUGUCCUUAAUGUGCUGUGCAUUGAGAUUUAAUGCUAUAACGAGUACUCAAACAGUAUAUUUCACUAUGUGUUUCUAUGGGGGUGCAAACUGUUGACAUCUUUACUUAAUGCAUACUAAACUGAUCCUCUGUAAAAAAAAAAAAAAAAGAAA